rnacentral:rRNA from 1 species
CGACGAGGUAGAUAGGUUAGAGGUGGAAGUGCAGUAAUGUACGUAGCUGACUAAUACUAAUCGGUCGAGGGCUUAUCCAA